GCCUUAUCAUACUUCUACCCUGCUGGCCAAUGGCGCACCUCUCCCCGGCUCACAUGACGCCUUUCUGUGCGCUCCCUGUCCUCUCAGCGCGCAAUCCCGGCGAGUGCAGGCAUCACUGAAGACCUGACAUCGACGGAAUCGGACGUCCACUGUCCUCACCACGGGCGACGAGGUGAUAUCUUUACGCGAAGCGCACCUCCCUACGAUGAAGCAGAGCUCUGUCGAUGGGGAUGACCCGCGCCUUGCUUCAGGAAGACACUUUUUUGUCCCUGUCCGAGCGGAAAGACGCAGCGGCGAACCAGUAACGCCCAGAACUUAUUGAAAUGAAUUGUCUUAAAAAGAUGCUGGCACAAGGAUAGUGCUUUCUGCGUGUUGGCCCUCACCAAAAAGAAGAAGGAAGCAGUUGCAGAGAAGAGAUUAAAGAGAUGUCCAGACAUGAAGGAGGCACGCAAGCGUACACACACGCUCAGCGAAAUGGCACCUUGAGGCUGUCUGCGGUCUACCACCACCCCACCCCAUUCACACACACACACACCUACACACACACACAACUGUUACAGUAAAGGAAGAGACCACCGAGUCAGAAAGAUAAUAAUAACGGAAACGCUUGAAAACAAACCCAUUAUCCACCCUUGUUUUCUUCAUUGAAUUCAAUGUUUUAAUCAAAUGAGCAUGUGAUUCAUUAGGACAAGUUGGAUUGUCUGUUCUACACUUUAAGUAGUUUUUUUUAAUAAAAAAAAAAACUAAUUUAUACAAAUUCUUGAUCUAUUUGAGCCUUUAUGUUCAUGCUCCAUUUUUUUCUGUCACUCAAAAUCUGUCUUGACAGGUUUAACAGCUCCACAUCUGUUUCAACCCUCCACAACCAAUUCAUGUGACCCACCCAGAGUCCCUCCCAGGCUUCCCAGCUUCCUGCAAAGUAUACCUCUAAAAGAAAAAUGACUGGGGAAAAAAACUCUUGCGUGCUAAAUUUAUGGUGCAGCAUUGCGGGAAAACCCUCCCUCGCUGUCUUAGUAUUCACUUUCGUCCUACUCCUUCUCUACUUUGACUGAGUUUGAGAAAACUUCUUUCAAACGAAAAUAAAAUGCUUUUCAUACUAGUUUGCAUCCCCAAUGUUGUACUCUAAAUUUAGAGCAAGGGCUGCAAGAUACAAAAUUAGCUUUUCUUUUCAAUAAUGUUUGCUUAAAAUUCCUUGGCUUUAACUGGUACACAUCAUUUCUAACAGAAAUUUCUAAAGAAAAUUCCUCAUCAGUAUAAAAACACUGAUUCGUUUCAAAGAACAUUUCCUUUAUAACUUCUAAAAAUACCUUACUUAGAAUGGGUGUAAAAUAACACGCAGGAUGAGCUGAGAUGGAAUAAAGAAAAGCUUGGUUUCUACAGCUUAAACUGUGUCAUAAAAUCAGCGCAGCAUGUUUAAAUGCAGCUUAAAUAGGAAAAGUGCAUCAUUUACUCCCAGCUUUAGGUUAACUGACGGCCCCACCCUCACAGCGGCCGUGUCACUAACCAGCACUAAUGAUACACUCCAUCAUUCCAGCUCCCUCUGCACAGGGGCUAGCUUGGUUAACCGUCGGCCGAGGGUGUGUGUGUGUGGGUGUGUGUGUGUGUGGAUACAUGCUUCGGCUAUCAAAGCACUUUAGAAUCAGAGAGCGAAGAACUCACACUGCUAAUGGAUGUGUCUAUUGAUGUUCCUAUUUAGCAGCUCACUGUAAACGAUAGGGCAAUGAUUGUGUUGAAGAUGGAAGGAGGAGGAGGAGGACUGGGGGAAGAAGAGCGGUUUGGCUGGGUGAUGAUAAUGACAAGGAAGGUUAUUAUUUGGCGCCCUAUGGAGUCUCCUAACUGUGUGUGUGUGUGUGUUGCGAAACAGAAAGAGAGGCAAGCCCACUCUUCCGUUCAUGUCUGUCCGUCCUCCUGCAGCCUGUUGUCUGUAACUCCCUUCUUGCUGCGUCUCUGCCUGCUUGCUCCUUUUAUCAAAUGACUACUGCUGCUCUUCAUUCACUUGUGACUGCAAUUUUUUAGGCCUAUCUCAGAUUUCAACAUCUUCUUUAAUUGAAUAAAAAAAAAGCAAAUAUGGUUUUUAACAGCAUGCUAAAGGCAGUAGGUUAAAUACAACUUAGCUCCUUGUUUUUAAAACCAAAAAAUACAACUUGUACUUGAAAUAAUAAUUGGCCAACAAGUACAUACUUCUUGUUCUGUUUUUGUCUUUAGUCCGGCUUUGUGUAUGUGUCAUGUCAGUUCCAGUAAUUGUGUGUGUAACGAAUACGAAAACAGUCAGCCUGUCAGCAGGUUUGGCAGGAGAGCACCUCCAGCUGGACUUAGACCCCAGCUCAGGUGUGUCUGUGUGUGUUCUGUGAGCGUGGCAUGUCUGUUCACAUCUGUCAGUGCAGGGACAACCUCAGGAAGAAGCAACCAAA